rnacentral:rRNA from 1 species
AUUGAACGCUGGCGGCAGGCUUAACACAUGCAAGUCGAGCGGGGGAAGGUAGCUUGCUACUGGACCUAGCGGCGGACGGGUGAGUAAUGCUUAGGAAUCUGCCUAUUAGUGGAGGACAACAACUCGAAAGGGAUGCUAAUACCGCAUACGUCCUACGGGAGAAAGCAGGGGAUCUUCGGACCUUGCGCUAAUAGAUGAGCCUAAGUAGGAUUAGCUAGUUGGUGGGGUAAAGGCCUACCAAUGCGACGAUCUGUAGCGGGUCUGAGAGGAUGAUCCGCCACACUGGGACUGAGACACGGCCCAGACUGCUACGGGAGGCAGCAGUGGGGAAUAUUGUACAAUGGGGGGAACCCUGAUCCAGCCAUGCCGCGUGUGUGAAGAAGGCCUUAUGGUUGUAAAGCACUUUAAGCGAGGAGGAGGCUACUCUAGUUAAUACCUAGGGAUAGUGGACGUUACUCGCAGAAUAAGCACCGGCUAACUCUGUGCCAGCCGCCGCCGUAA